UUAACUGACUGAGCCACGCCGGCACCCCAUAAACUGCUCACAAAUUUUUAAAACUCAUCUAUCCUUUAAAGGAUACUGCAUCAGAAAACAUCAAAAGAAGUAAUUACGGUGCACACACCAGUGAAUGCUGCUGGUACUCUGCCCAGAUCCCCUUGCCCAGCAGCAGGCACAGGGCCAAGCUGGACCAAUCGACCCUUCCUCACAGAUGCUGUGAAGAAAGACUCAUGGGGCAAAACUGGAGGCAUCUGAAGAGCGUCUCUUGGGGCCAAGACCCACAUGUCCCGGCAAGUUCCUAUUCCUCUUCUCUAUUCUCAGUUUCUGUGAUUAAUACCAUCUUCCCAAUAAAAUAUAUUUUCAUGUUAAUA
rnacentral:lncRNA from 1 species